CCUACGGGAGGCAGCAGUGGGGAAUAUUGCACAAUGGGCGAAAGCCUGAUGCAGCAACGCCGCGUGAGGGAUGAAGGCCUUCGGGUUGUAAACCUCUUUUAGCAGGGAAGAAGCGAAAGUGACGGUACCUGCAGAAAAAGCACCGGCUAACUACGUGCCAGCAGCCGCGGUAAUACGUAG
rnacentral:rRNA from 1 species